ACACGAUUGGUUUUUAACGACAAAAUGUCAGUGUUUUAAUUUAAUUUGCAUUUAAAUUGGUGUUCCUGUUGAAUACCAGGGUGGUAUUUGUGAAUGAGCAAGGUUAACAGUUGUGGAUUCAUAACCUUAAAACUUCCUAAUUUUCAUCAAGCCUGUCCUGUUCUUCCUGAUGCUUCCAACGAUUCUGUACGAAUCUUUACAAUUUGGUGACUAAUUGCAUGAGGUAAGUUAAAAUGGUGUGUGUUACUAGUAAGUCAAUAUGUGUGAAAUUCCAACUUAAUGGCAGGUUAGGUGAGUUAGUUCAAUUGAAAAAGUUUGAUAGGCUUACAAAAAGUAAAUAAACCUCAAAAACAAGAACGGGUAAACGUGGUCAUUAACUGCAAGAAUAUUUCUGAUAUUUCUUUCAUACUCUUUAAGAUAUUUACAAGUUGUCUUGGACCCAAAAUUCAAAAGCUAUGGUUGGCAAAGGAAUAAACCAACCAGUGAAUCGGAAUGCAGGAUGCGAGUGAUAGCAAGGGAAUGAAGGAAGCUGAUGGUCAUACUCAUACAAGAGGCAUAUAGUAUAUUCGUUGCAAGGCUGUUAUACUUUUAUCCGCAUUAAUGAGAUGAAAAGGGAAAUACACAUCUUUACGUGGGGCACUGAAAUGGUAGAGUAGUGUCUUCCCACACGUUUUUGGAAUCGACUAGGCUUCAAAAUAUUUCUUUGUACGUCAAGAGUCCGUUCGACUCUAUCACGGAGAUAUUUAGUGACUUCGUAAUAGAUAGAGACGAAAAUCUUGGUGGCUUUGGUUGCUCUCCUCUGAGUUGUAGCGCCGUGCAGUGUGGAAGAAGCUAUACCAAGGUAUAAGUGGUCCUAGCUGCCUUCAUCAUCGCCUUGUUCGUAAAGGCAGCAAGGACAUAUGAAAUCUUGGUAAACCCGCGAACCCAGCGUUUUGAAAUCGUAAUACCCAACUUAGUGUCUUACGUUGGCAAUAGUAUCCUGCCACACUGCUGACUGUUUCCGAGAGCACUCUGGUGGCAAGAACAGUUGGAAACACCUGCUAUUUGGCCCAACCAUUUAGUUUAGCUGCUUCUCUGCAGCCAUUACGGUGCUUUGGAGAUUUCUAACCUAACUGUUAAAGUUUAAGGCAUUUUCUGCUGUCUUUCUGCCUUCUUUAAUUCUGUGUUUGAAUUUGAAGAGAAUAUAAAAGACAGCUUCAGCUAAACUCUCGCCUUUUCUUUUUUUUUUACCUUUCCCUCCCUCCCGUGUCGUGGUGAUAGAGCAGUAUUCGAACUUCGUGUUAGUUUACUAGCUCUCACCCAGAGUAAAUUGCUCGACCUGCAAACGCGCCUGAUUCUUUCCAUAAUCUGGUGCUAAGGAAGAGCAUACACACCCAUUCUCUUAUUUUUAUAUGUGUUGUAUUUAUGUGCAUUAUGUAUAUGUGUUGUAUUUAUGUGCAUUAUGUAUUUGCCAGUAAAAUGUAACAAUUUAAUCAAAGCAAGGAAGUUCGUUACUGCCACUAAAGUUUGUGUGUUAUAUUAAAGCCAAAUAACUUUGAGAGAAACUGCUCCAGUGCCACUUUGCCUACCACAAAUCUCCAGGAUGAUCUGACAUGCGACUGGUAUGAGAGCCAAGACAAAGUUUUUUCAAUGAUAAAACCUUGCACAUUCUCUGGAUGAUGCUAAAUUCUUAAUCCACUUUCAAAGCAAUAGCAUAAAAUAAGUAUAGAUAUGCAAUGAGUACACCAAACUAGACGUCUGUUUUCAGAUCAUAUCAUGUAUUGAAACCUUAUUAAAUAAAUAUGAAAAGGGUAA